GCCACGGUAGCUCAACGGUAGAGCAACUCACUUGUAAUGAGUAGGUUGGGGGUUCGAUUCCCUCUCGUGGCU
rnacentral:tRNA from 1 species